rnacentral:rRNA from 1 species
GACAGAGGUGCCGAGCGUUAGACGGAAUCACUGGGCUUAAAGCGUGUGUAGGCGGGAUGGUAAGUACCUUGUGAAAUCCCACAGCUUAACUGUGGAAUUGCUUGGUAUACUGCCGUUCUUGAGUCACCUAGGGGCAGCUGGAACAGAUGGUGGAGCGGUGAAAUGCAUAGAUAUCAUCUGGAACGCCAAUGGUGCAGACAAGCUGCUGGGGGUGUACUGACGCUGAGGCACGAAAGCCAGGGGAGCAAACGGG